UUUAAAGUUAUUAAGCUUGUUUGGUAGCUUGGUGGAUAGUUAAUUAGCUUGCUUGCUAAUUCCACCCACCGUGCUUUCAUGGCUAC